AAAGGCUGCGGUAUUUUGACCGUACAAAGGUAGCAUAAUCAUUAGUUUUUUAAUUGGGAACUUGCAUGAAUGGUUGAAUGAAAAAUUAACUUUUUUUUUAAAAAAAUUGAAUUUUACUUUUUAAUUAAAAGGUUAAAAUUUAUUUAAAAGACGAGAAGACCCUAUAGAGUUUAAUAAUUAAUUUUUUAUUAUUAAAAAAGAUUAUUUUUACUUUUAUAAUUUUAAUUAUUUUAUUGGGGUGAUAGUAAAAUUUAAUUAACUUUUAUUGAUAAAUUACAUUAAUAUAUGAAAAAUUGAUCCAAUAUUAUUGAUUAAAAAUUUAAAUUACCUUAGGGAUAACAGCGUAAUUUUUUUUUAAGUUCAUAUUAAUAAAAAAUUUUGCGACCUCGAUGUUGGAUUAAGAUUUAAUUUUAGGUGCAGCAGUUUAAAAUUUAAGUCUGUUCGACUUUUAAAUUCUU
rnacentral:rRNA from 1 species